AAAUAGUAUUAAAUACAAGUUUUUGCGUGAUAUUUUUAUUUUCUUAAAGAUUUUAAAUUUUGUUUUAUUUGUAGUUUUUAAUGUUGAAUAUCAAAUAAUUUUGGGUUCAGUUAAUUUACUGUAGAAUUGUUUAAGGUUGUGCCAGCAAACGCGGUUAUACAAUCAAUUCUAAUUAAUUUUUUUGGUUAUUUAUUUAUUUAUUUAUUUUGAAGAUUUAUUUUUGUUUAUUAGGUGAAAUUUUAAUUUAUUAUAUAUUCUUUGGGUUUAAGAUUAUAAUAAGGUUAGGAAAUAAACUAGGAUUAGAUACCCUAUUAUUCUAAUUGUGAAUGUUUAACCAUAGUAUUAGUAGUUAAGGUCUUUAAAUUAAAAGGAUUUGGCGGUAAUUUAGUCUUUUCAGAGGAACCUGUUCUGUAAUUGAUGAUCCACGUUGGAUUUAACUUUAAUUUAUUGUUUGUAUAUCUCUGUCAUUGAAUGUUUUAAUAGAAUAUUUUCAUUUAAUUAUUAAUUUAAUUAAUGUCAGGUCAAGGUGCAGCUAUAUUAAAGGUUGAAAUGGGUUACAUUUAAUUUUAUUAAUUGGAUUAUAUUUGUUGUAUAUAAUAUUUUAUGAAAAAGGAUUUGAAAGUAAUUUUUUUUAUUUAAUAAAAAUGAUUUUAGCUCUAAAUUAUGUACACAUCGCCCGUCGUUCUCGUUAUUAAGAUGAGAUAAGUCGUAACAAAGUAAUUUUACCGGAAGGUGAAGUUGGAAUUAUA
rnacentral:ncRNA from 1 species